CAGCAGUCGCCACGGUAAUACGUAGGUGGCAAGCGUUGUCCGGAAUUAUUGGGCGUAAAGGGCUUGCAGGCGGUUUCUUAAGUCUGAUGUGAAAGCUCCCGGCUCAACCGGGGAGGGUCAUUGGAAACUGGGAAACUUGAGUGCAGAAGAGGAGAGUGGAAUUCCACGUGUAGCGGUGAAAUGCGUAGAGAUGUGGAGGAACACCAGUGGCGAAGGCGACUCUCUGGUCUGUAACUGACGCUGAGGAGCGAAAGCGUGGGGAGCGAACAGGAUUAGAUACCCGCGUAGUCCCUGUCUCUUAUAC
rnacentral:rRNA from 1 species